UGAAUAUUUAGAAUUAACACAAGAAAUUUGCUGCUCAAAUUUCUCCCUGGGAUACCAGAGUCUUGAUCUGGGAGCAUAUCAAACAAGGCCGCCUGCCUAGCCUCCAAGAUGGGCUGAGUUAUUGUCUGUUUGCUAAAAAUCUCCAGGGAUUGGUCAAAACAACUAAACAAUGAGAAGAAGAACUCAACUGCUAACAGAAGCUCCUGUGCAUAUCAAUGAAGGCAAGGAGAUACCAUAUCUGGACCUCUACUCAGCCAGAGGCAAAUGGAGCUUGCUGGGGGUGGAGAGGAGUGCUGUGUGACUCUUAUGAACAGCAGCACCUGAAUCCAGCCUCAAAUGCCUGUUAUGUUUGGACAUAGUAACCCUAUACAGGUCAUGAGUCACUGUACUCAUGUUGGUACCUGUUUGAGCGUUUGAGGUUUGCAAGCAGCAUUUCGGUAUUCUUCACCACUGGAUGCUGAGAGAAACAGCAAAAAGAUGCAGAAACAUGUGGAACAGCCCACCCAGCUCCUCCAUGCUAGGCAUUGUACUGGUGUUGGAAACAGAAGAAUGAACAGGACAUUCAUCACUUCUGCAUUCAAGAAGCACACAUCCUGGUAGG